AGUGAACGCUGGCGGUAGGCCUAACACAUGCAAGUCGAACGGCAGCACAGUAAGAGCUUGCUCUUACGGGUGGCGAGUGGCGGACGGGUGAGGAAUACAUCGGCAUCUACUUUUUCGUGGGGGAUAACGUAGGGAAACUUACGCUAAUACCUCAUACGACCUACGGGUGAAAGCAGGGGAUCUUCGGACCUUGCGUGAUUGAAUGAGACGAUGUCGGAUUAGCUAGUUGGCGGGGUAAAGGCCCACCAAGGCGACGAUCCGUAGCUGGUCUGAGAGGAUGAUCAGCCACACUGGAACUGAGACACGGUCCAGACUCCUACGGGAGGCAGCAGUGGGGAAUAUUGGACAAUGGGCGCAAGCCUGAUCCAGCCAUACCGCGUGGGUGAAGAAGGCCUUCGGGUUGUAAAGCCCUUUUGUUGGGAAAGAAAAGCAGCAGGUUAAUACCCCGCUGUUCUGACGGUACCCAAAGAAUAAGCACCGGCUAACUUCGUG
rnacentral:rRNA from 1 species